rnacentral:tRNA from 1 species
GGGGAUUUGGCUCAGUGGUAGAGCGUUUACCUAGGAAGCGCAAGGUCCUGGGUUCGGUCCCCAGCCCCG